UACGUAGGGGGCGAGCGUUGUCCGGAAUCACUGGGCGUAAAGGGCGCGUAGGCGGGCGUGCGCAUCCGCUGUGAAAGCCCCUGGCUCAACCGGGGGAGGCCAGCGGCGAUGGCGCGCCUAGAGGGCGGUAGAGGCAGGCGGAAGUCCCGAAGUAGUGGUGAAAUGCGUAGAGAUCGGGAGGAACACCAGUGGCGUAGGCGGCCUGCCGGGCCGCGCCUGACGCUGAGGCGCGAAAGCCAGGGGAG
rnacentral:rRNA from 1 species